rnacentral:lncRNA from 10 species
CUGGUGGGAAUGUCUCCUUUCAGUGCAUUUUCCAGCUCCACUAGUAUAUCUUUUGUUUGUUUACUCAUCUUUUAUGAGUUUCUUUUACAGAAUGUAUUUGAUUCUGAUCAGUUUAUACUUAAGUUGGCCUCCUCGUAUGAACUUUCACAAGUCAAUUAUACCUUAGGUUUAUGUAUAAUACAGUCUUAUUGAUUUAACAUUAAAAUAUAUUUCUAAUUUUUUUUUCUCCCUCAAUAAGUCUCAUUCAGUUACUUAAUUUCCUGAGAAACACUGAACCCUGGAAAGCCUGUAGAUGCCACUUUUGG